UCCGCGUGUGGUGGAUCCUCCUGGAGC
rnacentral:piRNA from 1 species